GCACGACGAGCCGAUGGCAGAUUCAUGGAAUUCAUGCCAGGCACGACAAGCCGAUGGCCGAUUAAUGGAUUUCAGCCCAGGCACGACGAGCCGAUGACCAAUUAAUGGAUUCCCGCCAUUGCACGAGCGGCUGAUGGAAUUUCUGUGCAAUCCUUUGUGUCCAGGCAGCGAUGCCGCCUCCAGCGGAGAAGCCCCUAUCUCAGGCAGGAUGCCUGUUGAGGCAGUGCGGACCCGUUCCCGGAGGAAUUGAUGGGGGAUCGGGCCCCGUUUCAGGGCCAGAAUGCAAGCUUCCCCGCUGGCACAUGCAGCAUUCAAUUUCCUGUACUUGUUCGAGCGGAGAAGAGCUGAGAAGUCUCAUUUAUACCAUCCCAUCUCUCCUCUGAAAUACACGAGGGGACUCAGAUAUAGGAAAGGUGACACCCCCCCGGGCGGGGGGAGGUCUCCCGUCCCCUUUCCUCCUUGCAAGUGCCUUCCAAGGCGGCUCCAGUGGGGAGAGGAGGUUGUAUGUGGCAAGCCUUUUUCUCACCAGUAAUCCUUGACAUUGAUCCCUUUUUUAGUAUUAUGCACUAUUACGUAACACACUUCCAGUACGAUGAAUAUUUUCUGUACUGGAGAGAGAAUAAGCUGAGCGAUUCUUGUGGCUUGCACUUUUGUGGAGGUCCGAGUCGUUUUUGGGAGGAACCCCGGGAAGGGCCAAAAUGGAUAGAGGGGAGCAAACACUCACACGCGGGUCAUUAUCUUGAAAAAGAGUUGGAAUGGCCAGUUUUGAACAGAUGCUGUUGUUCUGAUCAGAGUCCACAUUGGAAAGCUGACUUAGCAUUCCCUCUUUAUGACACUGUUAGCUUUCGUAUAGAUCGUAUCUUCCUUUGGCCAGCGGGCCUGGGGGGCCCAUGCUGUCAAAAUUUUCUGUUUGCCAUCUCAAGGACCGUCGCUGAGAGAUAUUUCUGGUGCGACGUUUCUGGCUACGGAAGAGAACGCGGGAUGGACGGUCCACCUCAGAGGGCCCCGGGAAGAGUCUCACAUGAAGGCCACGUCUCGUUUGCAUCUGGGGUUGACUGCUCCAGGGCCCCGAGGACACCGACCGGGCACUUGAUCUCCCAGAACGUUCAUCAGAGAAACGACGAGCAUCAGACCGUGAUCGACGACGUGUUCUCUGCUGGAGAUGGAGAGCGGCAGACAGGCUGAUUCACGCAAAGGAGAUGCUGGCAGUCCCGUCAUUCGUGAGGCCGAUGCCGGGAAGGAGCUGCGUGGGACCGUCGGCGGGGCGCUAGCCGUGCCGAGAAGGAGAAACCCGCAGUCUAAACGGGGGACCCACGGGUCGCAUCGCAACUGAAUGGAGUCCGAGACAGGACCCACCGCCCUCCUGGAUGAACGCGGGGACUUCCUUUGCAGCCUGCUGAGCGACUCGUUGAAAGCGAGCAAGUGAACGUCACGGUGUGAAGCCUGCUCUGGAGCUGAUUUUUCCUCGGCGGUUAUUUUUACAGCUUCUCGUGUCAUUUUGCCUGAGGUAGAAAUCUUCAGCCCUCGCUGAAAUAAACCUUGUCCCACUGAAAAACAGGCCCGUAUCUCAAAUCUGAAGGGGAGCUGCUCUGUCGGGCCAUCCGAUCUGUGCCACCGCAUCUCUAGAAAUUGGUAUUGAAUCAUGGUGUGAGGUUUUCUGGUGAGGCCUAAAAUUGGCUAUGAACUCGCUCACCUUGGAGCCACCCAGAAAAACAAAGGCCCGCGUAGGACGUGCGGAUGUGGUCUGAGCUGGUGUAACUAGAGCUUCACUGGAACGGCCGAGCUUCGUGAGAUUAGAGAGCCGUGCCCUUGGCAUCAGGGUCUGUCAUUCUCAGGGAUGUCCUGCCUUUGCCCCUGUGUCUGAGAGCCACUGCACGAACCGUCGCCGAGCCUGCCGAGUUGUAUACAUUCGCACUGUGAGCUUGGGUGGCCUUUGGCAGACGUGGGGCGGGGGUGACCCCUCACAACGAAGUUGUAAAUUCAAUGUUGCUGAACAUUUCCUUUUCAAAUCAGCUUUUAUUGAUUGAACUUGUAAUAUAUCUUUGGGGCUGGAUGGCCCCUUGUUAGUUAAUGAUUUUAUUUUAACCUCUUCCUCCUAAACUGUAAGUAUAAAAAGUCAGUGCAGUAUCCCACC